GAGAGGGUGUGUGUGUGUGUGUGAGUAGUUAGAAAGAGAGAGAUAAACAAAGAAAGAUUGAGUGGUUAGAGAGAGGGCAGAAGAGACACCAGAGACUUCCAAGAUGGCAAACUGCUACGUGAGCACUACGUGUGAAAUCAAGAUAGCUGAAUUGCAGGGGUUGGUAACUGCAACUCUCAACUUACUUCUGCCAUUCUGCACCUCCUACAUAUUUCCUGUCGUUAUUGUCGUUUGAAGUACCACCACAUAAUCUAACGUGUCGCAGACGGAACAAACAAGUCUCCAUGACACGAUGAGGACUUUCCCACCAGAGCGACUUGGCACCUAAAGGGUCAGCCCUAGUCCGCUCUCCAUCAUCGUACAAGAUAAGCAUAUCCUCGUUAACAUAUCCUUUUGCCCUCGUCCUCGUCGAGGCCACGGCACCCAACGCUACGCCACAACCACCACUUUACUAAGUCAACCACUUACUCUUUUGGCACCCCAGUUGCUAUGCAAGUUCUUUCCCCCAAUAA
rnacentral:lncRNA from 1 species